rnacentral:tRNA from 1 species
UCCUCUGUGGCUCAGUUGGUAGAGCAUGGUGUUUGCAACACCAGGGUUGUGGGUUCGAUUCCCACGAGGGA